AGCAAUACGGGAGUGGCGCACGGGUGAGUAACACGUGGGAAUAUGCCCAGCAGUGGGGGAUAACCGAGGGAAACUUCGGCUAAUACCGCAUACGCCCCUAGGGGGAAAGAUUUAUCGCUGUUGGAUUAGCCCGCGUCCGAUUAGCUAGUUGGUGUGGUAACGGCGCACCAAGGCGACGAUCGGUAGCUGGUCUGAGAGGAUGAUCAGCCACACUGGGACUGAGACACGGCCCAGACUCCUACGGGAGGCAGCAGUGGGGAAUAUUGGACAAUGGGGGCAACCCUGAUCCAGCCAUGCCGCGUGAGUGAAGAAGGCCUUAGGGUUGUAAAGCUCUUUCGGCGGGGACGAUGAUGACGGUACCCGCAGAAGAAGCCCCGGCUAACUCCGUGCCAGCAGCCGCGGUAAUACGGAGGGGGCUAGCGUUGUUCGGAAUUACUGGGCGUAAAGCGCGCGCAGGCGGCUAUUCUAG
rnacentral:rRNA from 1 species